CCACCUUGAUUACUGCUCUUGCGCCCAUGAGCAAGGCACUUUAUUCCAGUUUGCUUGGAGAAGGGAGUGACUUUCAUAAGUCACUAGUGAGGAGAUAAGCUUCCUCUGCGACCCUAGCUACAGGGUGUACUUGGGCAAGGCAUAGCACCUGUUUAGCCUCCCGUGCCAGGGUUACGGUGAAGAUGUCUAAUGUAGUAGAGAUGUGCAAGUGACUGACCACAGCAUUGACCUAAUUGGAGGGAAGACGAAACAUAGCUAAAGGAGUGCUGCUCUGCUAGAUAAUCCACAACGAAGAAGAUAAUUGGAUAAGAGGAGGGAUAAUUGGUGCCAGUGUGUUGAGUCAUGAGGCUGGGAUUGGAGCAAGAUGUCUUUUCCUCCAUUCAAACACCAUGCAUGCUUAUCAUUUGGACCAGCAAUACAAAAACAAGGAACCAGGACUUCAAACUCAAGACUUCAGGACUUCAGGACUUCAAGACUUCAAGACUUCAACACUGCCACACCCACGGAUCAGCACACACCCUAUACACACCUAUCACGCACCGCCCCUACAUUAAGCAUUCAAUAUAGGGCUAGCAGCAUCAUGUCAAUCACCAGCGCGUGGUCUCCGACGACAGUCACCAUCGCGCAGGCCGUGCGCUUCCUCUCUUUAGGAAUCAAGUUUAGAGGGUGGGUCAGGAUCGGUUUACGUUCGCGUGUGCCAGGGGGUGAGACAACACCUUAGCUGGUCAGAGCAUGGGAAAUCCCACCUCCCCCCUCCCAAGAGCGUGGGAGUUGGGGUUGGGGUGUCCGGCUCGCAGGUUUACCCUGGCACAAUCGCAUAAUAGGUUGAAUGACG